AGGGAAAUAGUUCAGUGGUAGAGCACAUGCUUAGCAUGCAUGAGGUCCUGUGUUCAACCCCCAGUAUCUCCA
rnacentral:tRNA from 1 species